UACGUAGGGAGCAAGCGUUGUCCGGAAUCAUUGGGCGUAAAGCGCGCGUAGGUGGCUUCGUAAGUCCGUUGUGAAAGUCAAAGGCUCAACCUUUGAAAGCCGAUGGAUACUGUGGAGCUAGAGUACGGAAGAGGCGAGUGGAAUUCCUGGUGUAGCGGUGGAAUGCGCAGAUAUCAGGAGGAACACCAAUAGCGAAGGCAGCUCGCUGGGACGUUAACUGACACUGAGGCGCGAAAGCGUGGGGAGCGAACAGG
rnacentral:rRNA from 1 species